rnacentral:rRNA from 1 species
UACGGUAGGGUGCAAGCGUUAAUCGGAAUUACUGGGCGUAAAGCGUGCGCAGGCGGUUGUGCAAGACAGAUGUGAAAUCCCCGGGCUCAACCUGGGAAUUGCAUUUGUGACUGCACGGCUAGAGUGUGUCAGAGGGGGGUAGAAUUCCACGUGUAGCAGUGAAAUGCGUAGAUAUGUGGAGGAAUACCGAUGGCGAAGGCAGCCCCCCUGGGAUAACACUGACGCUCAUGCACGAAAAGCGUGGGGGAGCAAACAGG